rnacentral:lncRNA from 1 species
UUUUUUUUCCUAGCCCCCACUCCCUACCACAACCAAUAGGCAAAAAGUAGGAGGUACAAAGGGAAGGCAUGGUUGCCUUAUUAGAUGGAGGAACCUUUCAAUUAGUUCUUUUUACAUCAAGUCUUAGAGGCACCGCUGAGUCAAGAAGAAGCAAGUCCUGACCAAGACCCAAAGGAGACACCCCUCUCAAGGUAAUUGUAUGGAUAUGACACUGCUUCCAGGGCACUUUUACUCCAUAAUAUCCUUUCCUUUAUUAACAUCUGGUUUCCCAAUCAAGAAGAGGCUAGGGGGCACAGAUGAAUUCAAUUUUGGACAGGCUAGAUAAAAGGCAAAAUGGCAAAACCAAGUGAAGAUGUCCUUGAAAGAGUUUGACAUAUAAAUCUUGAUCAAUAAGCUUAGAAGUCAGCAUAGAGAUGGAUGCUGUUUCCAAGUAGAGGCAGUAAAUCACACAGAGACAUUGCUAUACAGUGAGAGAAAAAUAGGACUGAUACCAGAGCCAUAGUGUGGGUAAGCAGGGAAAAAAGAAAACCCAUGAACAAACCUAAACAAAACAAAACAAAACUUCAGAGAGGUCAGAAGAAUAAGGUGGUUGCGCAAAAGCCAUGAGAAGAGGGAAGGACCUGGCAAAGGCAGAGAAUUCCAUCCUGUAAGGUAAGAAUUAGAUGGACAGUAAACACAUCAUUAGAUAACUUGACUGGAGCUGUUCCAGUAAGCAGAUGGAAUAAAAAAAACUUUUUGCAUUGAAUUUUAUAACAGAAUAUGUAAGGACCUUUGAGGAAGAAAAGAGUAUCUCUCACACACACACACACACACACACACACACUGUGGGUGACAGAGAGAUACCACUGAAGAUCAAAGAGAGGUGGGGUUGCAAAGCACCUUGUAAGCCACUUGAAGAAUUUUUUAGGGGGGAGGCUUCAGGAUAAAGAGUAAUGGGAAACCAGGAAAGAGUGCAAUGAGGGAACUAAAAUAAUCAGAUCUGUAUUUUAUAAAAAUCAUAGUGACCAUAGUUAAUUAAAAGCAGGGCUGUCGGUAAGUAAAGAAAUUAUUUUGGUAACCGUGAAAAAGAAAACUCAGUAAGUCAGGGACAUUGAAUUGAUCUCCCCUAUCUCUCCAUAUGCUAGAACAGUGCCUACUACUUAAUAGGCAAUAAUAUUUGCUAAGUUAAGGAGUGGCUCAAAUAAGAUGUGAUACUAACUUAGCUAGGAUGCUGUUGGUGAAGAUGAAGAGAAGCAAAGGAACUCAAAACUCUGUCUAGAAAGUAAAAUAUAGAGAUUUAGCGAUGGAUGGACACAACAAAAUGAGUGGAAGAGUCAAGGCUGGCUUGGGUUUCUAGCUUACACUAACUACUGGGUGAAUACUGUGUCAUUCAUUGACAUGGGGACACAUAGAAAAGACUUCUGUGGGGGAAGAUGAUGAUGGAAACUGAUUCGGUUCAGACCCAGAUUGAAACACCAAGUGGUUUCACAGUUCUCCGAUGACUCUAAAAGGUGAUCUGGUGGCACUAACAGCCACAAAACUGUGGGUUCCCACUGCAUCUUCAUAAGCCAUGUGCUACUAGAGACCAGCUAAUUUAUACUGAGCUUCCCUAUGGUAAUUCCUCCCCCCCCCCCCCAUGGUAAUUCCUAAGACAGGUACAGGAUGCCUUUAUUUUCCAUUUUCCUUUCAAAAUAUUCUGGAAUCAGCGGUCUUUUUUUCCUAUAUACUCAUCCUCAUAAUCCGGCAUCAUGGAAACAUCAUACAGUUUCUACCCAUAAAACUGUCUUACAUUCAGAAGAACAAUACAGGGUUAAAAAUUAGGGAUCCCUGGGUGGCUCAGCAGUUGAGUAUCUGCCUUUGGCUCAGGGCAUGAUCCUGGAGUCUCAGGAUCAAGUCCCAAAUCGGGCUUCCUGAGCGGAGCCUGCUUCUCCCUCUGCCUAUGUCUCUGCCUCUCUCUCUCUCUGUGUCUCUCAUGAAUAAAUAAAUAAAAUCUUUUUUAAAAAUUAGACUAAUACAGGUCAGAAACAGAUUUCAUAUAUUCAGUAACUUUAAUUGUGAUGUGCACCUCACCUAAAAAUGAAUUAUCAGUAGGUAAAGUACAUAAUAAAAUUUUAUAAAACAUUUUCAGGUAAAGGAUCCUGUAGACUAAGAUGUAAAAAGGUGAGGAGGAGAGCAAAAGUCAAAUAGUGUCAUAGAAUCCCAGGAUUUCAUGGAGACUAUCCUUCAAUAUAAUAAUAUUGUGCACCAUGUCCCCAUCACACAUGUAAGAACUGAGUUCCAUAAAGCUGGCCACUCAGCCUAACAGCACACCAUGUACCUUCCUAGAACUCUCUUUAUGUCACAACUGCUAUGGUUUUCCCAAAUGAUGGGAUAUGGGGGGAGAGGGCAAGCAGGGCGUGUGUGUAUGUGUGUGUGUGUGUACAUGUGCUUGUGCAAAUAAACAUGCAGUAGUGCAUAAUGGAUAGGUAAGGGAUUUCUUAAUUAUUACAAUUCCUAAUGGAGGAUGAAAGUCUCCUUUUAAGUGAGAAUUUAAAGAAAAAUAAUCAUCUUAUUAGCAUACCAAAUGGAAAAAACUGAUUUUUAGUGGUUUCAAAUAAUGAUAGUGUUUUCAAAAUAUAUAUAGGUAUCUUCUCAUUUCACAUUCACAUUAAGCUUAAUUUUAGGAAAAAAAUUCUUGACUUUUAAACUUGCUACUAAAUUGUAAUUUUGAAUCACUAGGCAGUUUGGUAAAACCUAUUCCUUCACUGUCAAGUACAUAACAAAUCUUUCUCUUGCUUCUUCACUUAUAGGGGUUAAAAGGACAGGAUGAAGGCUUUAAUCCUGACUGGGCUCAUCCUGGUCUUUGCCAUUUGUUUCCCGGUAAGAUUCUAUACAUCUGAAUACAAGAACUACUUAAAACUGAGAACUACAUUAAGAUGCGGUUUGGAGUGAGAUUACAGCACUGUAUUUUUAAAAACAGAACAGAGUCACAUGAGAUGAGAACAGGAACGAUUACUUCUAAUACUAUAAAAAAUACGUUUAUUCAAAAUCACCAGAAAUUUGAAGAGAAAAAAACAAAGCAAAGGGAGAUGUGGAAGGGAAACAGAGAAAAAGAGGGAGAGAAGCAGAAGAGAAUGACUGUUAAUUGAGGACGGUAAGGUAUGAGAAAAUCUCCACAUACAUUUGGAGGACUAGAACUAAACUUGCAAAUUAAUGACCAAGACUUCCACUUGUCCUUCUCGUCCAUGUUCACUCACCACCUUCGUUGUAAGGAGAUUCCCCUGUGAGGUGAAAAAUGAGGAUGCAUUUAUCUGUCUCUCAAGUUUGUUUUUCACUCAACCUCUGAGUCUAUUAUUAUGUUCUCAUGAUCAAAAACUGCAACACGUUCUUCCACACAAGACACAAACACAGUGAGAAAGAAGAUAGUCUCUUCUAUUGAUAUCUAAAAUAGACAAUUAUUAGCACAUUUGACUCAUCUGAAACAUGAUUUGUGCAAAUAGGUUUUUUUGUACCUCUUUGAGUGAGCCUUGGUAUUUUGAAUUUUGUGGCUUUUGCUUUACCCUUUUAAAUCUCUUGCAGAGUUAAAAAAAAAAAAAGAAAA